GAAGGUAUACAAUAGGUAAAGAGGAAGGGAGAUGCUCGAAAUCUGCAGAACUGCGUUCUGCAGAUUCUGCAAAGUCGCAUAGCGCACUGAAUGCGCUAUGCGAAUUUCGCUGGAAAGCCUCUCCUGCAGGCCAAUUUGCCUAACGCACAAGGGGGUGCGCUGUGCGAAUUGUGCUGGUUUCACCUUGCGCCCUGGUGCGUUGUUCGAUUAGGGUCGGCCUUUUUAACUCAUUUUCUUCUCCUUUUUGAGAUAUUUGAUGUUGUUUGACUUCUAAGAUGAAUGUAUGUUUAUAUAAUUGAAUGGGAUGGCUUGAUUGAAUGUGAACUGAGCAUCUUAGGGUGAGAUGAUGCAAAUGGUGUUGUUGUCUGUAUAACUAUAGGGAGCUUUGAAAUUGUAUGUCUAUCCCUACACUCAAAGCACUGCCCAUACUCAAAUAGAGAAGAACACUGUGAGUGGUGAGAGUAGAGGGAUGUCCUCGUCUAUAGUCUUUGAGUUUAGAUAUAGACAUAUUGGGGGGAUUUACCUGGCAUAGUGUUGGGGAUGGGCCAGCUGAACUAUGCAAGUGCAAAGACGACCAAUAAUUAUACAAUUAUACCAAAUCUGGAUGAGUCGCAUUAUGUGUGUGAUGCAUGGUUUGAAUGGUAUGCCUCGCUUGCCCUGUUUAUAUGUAGUUAAGCAUGAUGACAUUGAUUAUAUAUACUAUAUGUAUGUUGUUGUUUACCUAGCUCACC
rnacentral:lncRNA from 1 species